CAACUUGCAGUUUAAAAGAUGUGUUCUGAACGUCCUAAAAGCAGCUCCCACAUCAAGUAGAGGGGAAUAAUAAAUCCAUGAUGUAAAGCCUCUGGCUGCAAAACAAAGGCAGCGUGGUGUGCUGCUGAUGCUAUUACAACCUACAGCAGAUGCAGCCUGCUCUUCCUCUGGCUGGGCUCUGAGUGGUGGAGUGUCGGCGUUGGGACAGAUUAGUAUAGAACACGUUGAUGAUACAAAGUUUCCCUUGCAUGGUGCACAGCCCGUCAUAAAACAGGGCAACAGGAUCUUCCCACUGCAGGGGCGUCACUUGGACACAGACACUGGGCGGGCU